rnacentral:rRNA from 1 species
UCUGGUUGAUCCUGCCAGUAGUGAUAUGCUUGUUUCAAAGAUUAAGCCAUGCAUGUCUAAGUAUAAGCGAACUUAUACAGUGAAACUGCGGAUGGCUCAUUAAAACAGUUUGAAUUUAUUUGAUGAAUGUAUGAGAAUACUACUUGGAUAACCGUAGUAAUUCUAGAGCUAAUACAUGCAACGACGCCCGACCGUUUCACUACGGAAGGGCUGUAUUUAUUGGAUACCAAAACCAUCCUUCCCUCGGGAAGUUUUGUUUGAUGAUUCACAAUAACUGAUCGGAUCGCCACUGUGGUGGCGACAGGUCAUUCAACAUUCUGCCCUAUCAGCUUUCGAUGGUUGUGUAGUGGACAACCAUGGCCAUAACGGGUAACGGAGAAUCAGGGUUCGAUUCCGGAGAAGGAGCUUGAGAAUUGGCUACUACAUCUAAGGAAGGCAGCAGGCGUGCAAAUUACCCAAUCCCGAUUCGGGGAGGUAGUGACAAAAAAUAACAAUACCGGGCCUUUUUGGGCUUGGUAAUUGGAAUGAGGGAGAGUUAAACGGACCAUCGAGUAUCCAUUGGAGGGCAAGUCUGGUGCCAGCAGCUGCGGUAAUACCAGCUCCAAUAGCGUAUAUUAAAGUUGUUGCAGUUAAAAAGCUCGUAGUUGGACUUGUGUGCGCUGUCCGCGGGUGGCCUGCGCCCAAAAGGGCGUCUCGGUUCGGCCCCGGUGGCGCCUUGAAAUCUGCAGCUGGGGGGACGUUGGCCUUAACUGGUCGGCGACCGCACGCCGGCUGCUCGGUUACUGUGAGAAAAUUAGAGUGUUCAAGGCAGGCAUUGGGUGCAAUUGAAUACAUUAGCAUGGAAUAAUAAAAUAUGGCUCCUGCCGUAUUUUGUUGGUUUUGACUGGUGGGAGUAAUGAUUGAUAGGGACGGUUGGGGGUGCUAGUAUUGAGCGGCCAGAGGUGAAAUUCAUGGAUUCGCUCAAGACUAACUUAUGCGAAAGCAUUCACCAAGGACGUCCUCUUUAAUCAAGAACGAAAGUUGGGGGAUCGAAGACGAUCAGAUACCGUCGUAGUCUCAACCAUAAACUAUGUCGACUUGGGAUCGGCGGUAGUUUUUUCAUUAAGACACUGUCGGGACACGGGAGAAAUCAAAGUGUCCGGACUCUGGGGGAAGUAUGGUCGCAAGGCUGAAACUUGAAGGAAUUGACGGAAGGGCACCACCAGGAGUGGAGCCUGCGGCUUAAUUUGACCCAACACGGGGAAACUUACCAGGUCCAGAGAUGUAGAGGAUUGACAGAUUGAAGCUCUUUCUUGAUCACUUCGGUGGUGGUGCAUGGCCGUUCUUAGUUGGUGGAGUGAUUUGUCUGGUUAAUUCCGUUAACGAACGAGACCUCAGCCUGC